rnacentral:rRNA from 1 species
AGGGAAAGCGAGCGGGAUGCUUUACACAUGCAAGUCGAACGGCAGCGCGGACUUCGGUCUGGCGGCGAGUGGCGAACGGGUGAGUAAUGUAUCGGAACGUGCCCAGUAGCGGGGGAUAACUACGCGAAAGCGUAGCUAAUACCGCAUACGCCCUACGGGGGAAAGCAGGGGAUCGUAAGACCUUGCACUAUUGGAGCGGCCGAUAUCGGAUUAGCUAGUUGGUGAGGUAACGGCUCACCAAGGCGACGAUCCGUAGCUGGUUUGAGAGGACGACCAGCCACACUGGGACUGAGACACGGCCCAGACUCCUACGGGAGGCAGCAGUGGGGAAUUUUGGACAAUGGGGGCAACCCUGAUCCAGCCAUCCCGCGUGUGCGAUGAAGGCCUUCGGGUUGUAAAGCACUUUUGGCAGGAAAGAAACGUCGCGGGCUAAUACCCCGUGGAACUGACGGUACCUGCAGAAUAAGCACCGGCUAACUACGUG